UUUUUUUUUUUUUCCCAAAAUGAUUGUUUACUUGAUUCUCAUGUUCACGCAGGGUUAGGAAAUAUUUCUUAGAGUAGCAGUUGCUAUCUGGAGACUAGAUGGCUGCUCAGUGUUGGAAGCUAGGCUUUGUAACCCUAAAUUCAUUCCCUUCCACCAAUUUGGGGAACUCUGAUUUUAGGGGAGGUCACAGGUUAUACAGGUGUAGAUGCAGAUAACUGACUUGACAUUUACCCAAAUGCAGAUAGAAGGAGUCUGGGGACAAGUGAAUGGGUUCAUUGCCACCACAUCUAGAGAGUUACAACAAAUCUCCAUGGAUCCCAAAGGAAAUCAUUCUCUAGUCCCCAAGCCUGUUUAUUCAUUUAACAACGACUUAUUGAAUACCUGUCAUGUGCCAGGUACAGUUCUCGGUGUUGGGAUACAGCAAAAACACACAUAAUCUCAGCAGUCUUUCAGAUGAUCUGUCCUCACUCAGCAUGCUUGUCUCUAGAACUGUCCAGUUAAAAAUUCUCUGCAUAGCCAUUUGGCUCUUAUGCAAAUUGAAAACAGUCAUUUCCAAAGAGCCAUCAUUAUCCUUGUUAAAAAUAAGCGUCCAGGUCUUUUUGGACUGACCAAAAAGUGUUAGAGUUGGGUCUAGGAAAUCAGGCACAACUUCUCUGAAACCUGCUUAUACCCUGACUAAAGAGUUUAUUCUGGGCCUAGCCUUCAGUCUCUGACCAUUAAAUGCCCUAACGUUUUAAUGAAAAUACACUGAAUUUCUUAUUUUUAUCUUUUAAACUUGGCAUUUUUCUGCUCCUUUUGAAAACUAUAAAUAUUUCAAGGGGCAGAGGCAGGAUGGUGAAGAGGGGAGACUAGUUCAUAUCUUACAAACUGUGAAAUUAAAUGAGUUAGAAAAUAGUGUUAUAAAUAGUGUUGACUGACACUUAAUAUCUAUACACUAAAGCUGGUGUGUAAUUUAUUUGCGUUUUACAGGAUAUGAAGAAACAGAGGUUUGAUGUGGCUAAGAUGACUUGUAAUUAUAUACUUAGGAUAACGAAAGUGUCUUUAAACAUUGUCCACUUUUUAAUUUUGUGAGUUAAAAUGACGGUGAAUUGAAAUUUGGUGAGUUAAAAUGAUGGCCUUGAGACAAACAAUGUUUUGUCCUCUCUUUUUUAUAGUCCUUUGUGGUAGUGAGGGCUUUGGUUUCUUGGUAUUUCAUUUCUCUGUGGUAACAUAAAAAUUGAAUUGCUACAUUUUCGCAAGGAAAUUCUAAAGGCAAAGUCUGCUAAAUUAAAUCUAAAGAUAAUAAAAGACUAUAUUGAAAUAAGGUCAAUUUAAAAAUAGAACUCUGUACAUACAAACAUUCAAAACAAAAUAAGCAUGAGAGUUUUUGUUUUUCAUUUUGAAUCAAAACUGUUUUAUUGGUGUGGAUUCUUUGGAAAAUGGAAGAAUUUUCAAGAGCCAAGAAUGGCAUGGGGGUUUCUGUGAGUGUACUUCCAAAAACCAGAAGAAAUAUAUUGGCCACUAAAUAGGAACGAAGAUGCAUGGACCCUUACAUAGAGCAUACACCCAUCGAAAGCAAAAGAACUACCUGACUUUUGGACUUUCCCUAAAACUCCACUUGUAGUUGCAAAAAUAAAACAUGGAGAAAAUGAUCUUUUCUAGCAGUGGUCUAAAAGUCCAUGGAGUAGUGCCAUUAAUCUAGGAAAGUAUAAAACCAGAAUAUCAAAAUAAAUAUCCCUUUUUUUGAUUAGAGUAAAGGAGAUUUUUGCUAAUCAUCGUGCUGUAAAUAUAAGCAAGUUAAAGGAUGUAAUAGUUUCCUUUACUGUUCACAUUUCCCUGGGAGCUUUCGAAGAUUUUGGCAUCAAAUACAAACCAUUUUAAAAACUAGCAGGUUAAAAAGAGACGUUGUUUCUCUUCCUUGCAGGGGUUUUGAGCCCACUUUAUGUAUUUAUCAUUGUGAUUAGGAGAACUCCCAACGUUACUACCUACGUCACUGGCUACCAUGUAUACUGUAUAGUGAGGUUUCUCAAAUUCUUCCACAUGAUAGCUCUCAUUGAAAAUAGUAUUAUAUAGCAUACUGGAUUUAAAAAAGGAGGCUUCUUCCAGCAGAGACGGAAAGCUGGGGAAGGUCUGGCCCCAGGCUCGACCCAGACGCCCUGCAAACCAUUCACACACAUCAGGAUGAACGGGAGCACCUGCUAGGGAACUCUGUGUUUGACACUUGAAGGAAAUGGUAACAUUAAAAAACUACUAUGUAUUUCUUUCCUUUCCUUUUCUUUUCUUUUUCAGUUUGUUGGAGCCUAAAUUAUAGCAGGAAAUAUUUCUGUAUUUUGUAUCUCAACUUUCUACUGGAAUAGAUUGCUUCCAGUGUCCUCGAUGAUGAAGAUUAUGAGAAGUAAGUGUUUGAGUUUUGUCUCCAAUAAAUGCAAAUGCAAAUGCAAUUAGCAAAUGAGUCUGCUUGUAGUGACUUGAAGUUUUCUUUUUUCCUGUAGCUUUCAAUAAUAAAUUGGGGGUUCAAAGUAGCAAACUGGAUUUCUGAGCAGUUUUUUAAAAGGUAAUUAUUAAUGGUUUGGAAGAGAAGAAUGAGAUGGCAUAUCUAUGCAAUUUGAUUUAUUUUCUUUUGAAUAUCUUUUGUUUUUAAUUUAAGAUGUUUUUCAUCUGACGUGUGUAAUAAUACAAUCUCUAAAACAGAAUUCAGCAUGCCAAUCGGUUUAACUUUAGAAAGGAAUGUCUUUAAACCCAUUAGAGAGAUGAGGGUGAGAGAAGGAAAAAGCGUGAGACAGAUAGACAGACUGACUGGCAGAAAGGGGGGGAGGGGCAGAGAAAGAAAGAGAGGGAUUGAUUUAUCAAUUUUCUUUAGUGUGUUCAAAAUUUUAACAGUUCUUCCUGUCUCAGAAUUGUUAUAUGUAGCUUUAAUCUCUUCUACUACAAUGCAACUUCAUUUUCUCUUUUUAUGUCUUGGAGGGCAGAGGGCCCCAAGAGUGUAAGAGAAGUUAAAGAAUAACUAGCUCUACAACCAUGAUUGGGUAGCGUUGACACAACUAUAAAAUGAAAGCUAUUCCGUUUGUUCUAUAGCCCUUAAACUUUGGAAAUAGUAUCCGAUAGUGG
rnacentral:lncRNA from 1 species